rnacentral:rRNA from 1 species
AGCGUACACGGUGGAUGCCCUGGCAGUCAGAGGCGAUGAAGGACGUGCUAAUCUGCGAUAAGCGUCGGUAAGGUGAUAUGAACCGUUAUAACCGGCGAUUUCCGAAUGGGGAAACCCAGUGUGAUUCGUCACACUAUCAUUAACUGAAUCCAUAGGUUAAUGAGGCGAACCGGGGGAACUGAAACAUCUAAGUACCCCGAGGAAAAGAAAUCAACCGAGAUUCCCCCAGUAGCGGCGAGCGAACGGGGAGGAGCCCAGAGCCUGAAUCAGUGUGUGUGUUAGUGGAAGCGUCUGGAAAGGCGCGCGAUACAGGGUGACAGCCCCGUACACAAAAAUGCACAUGCUGUGAGCUCGAUGAGUAGGGCGGGACACGUGGUAUCCUGUCUGAAUAUGGGGGGACCAUCCUCCAAGGCUAAAUACUCCUGACUGACCGAUAGUGAACCAGUACCGUGAGGGAAAGGCGAAAAGAACCCCGGCGAGGGGAGUGAAAAAGAACCUGAAACCGUGUACGUACAAGCAGUGGGAGCCUCUUUAUGGGGUGACUGCGUACCUUUUGUAUAAUGGGUCAGCGACUUAUAUUCUGUAGCAAGGUUAACCGAAUAGGGGAGCCGAAGGGAAACCGAGUCUUAACUGGGCGUUAAGUUGCAGGGUAUAGACCCGAAACCCGGUGAUCUAGCCAUGGGCAGGUUGAAGGUUGGGUAACACUAACUGGAGGACCGAACCGACUAAUGUUGAAAAAUUAGCGGAUGACUUGUGGCUGGGGGUGAAAGGCCAAUCAAACCGGGAGAUAGCUGGUUCUCCCCGAAAGCUAUUUAGGUAGCGCCUCGUGAAUUCAUCUCCGGGGGUAGAGCACUGUUUCGGCAAGGGGGUCAUCCCGACUUACCAACCCGAUGCAAACUGCGAAUACCGGAGAAUGUUAUCACGGGAGACACACGGCGGGUGCUAACGUCCGUCGUGAAGAGGGAAACAACCCAGACCGCCAGCUAAGGUCCCAAAGUCAUGGUUAAGUGGGAAACGAUGUGGGAAGGCCCAGACAGCCAGGAUGUUGGCUUAGAAGCAGCCAUCAUUUAAAGAAAGCGUAAUAGCUCACUGGUCGAGUCGGCCUGCGCGGAAGAUGUAACGGGGCUAAACCAUGCACCGAAGCUGCGGCAGCGACGCUGAUGCGUUGUUGGGUAGGGGAGCGUUCUGUAAGCCUGUGAAGGUGUGCUGUGAGGCAUGCUGGAGGUAUCAGAAGUGCGAAUGCUGACAUAAGUAACGAUAAAGCGGGUGAAAAGCCCGCUCGCCGGAAGACCAAGGGUUCCUGUCCAACGUUAAUCGGGGCAGGGUGAGUCGACCCCUAAGGCGAGGCCGAAAGGCGUAGUCGAUGGGAAACAGGUUAAUAUUCCUGUACUUGGUGUUACUGCGAAGGGGGGACGGAGAAGGCUAUGUUGGCCGGGCGACGGUUGUCCCGGUUUAAGCGUGUAGGCUGGUUUUCCAGGCAAAUCCGGAAAAUCAAGGCUGAGGCGUGAUGACGAGGCACUACGGUGCUGAAGCAACAAAUGCCCUGCUUCCAGGAAAAGCCUCUAAGCAUCAGGUAACAUCAAAUCGUACCCCAAACCGACACAGGUGGUCAGGUAGAGAAUACCAAGGCGCUUGAGAGAACUCGGGUGAAGGAACUAGGCAAAAUGGUGCCGUAACUUCGGGAGAAGGCACGCUGAUAUGUAGGUGAAGUCCCUCGCGGAUGGAGCUGAAAUCAGUCGAAGAUACCAGCUGGCUGCAACUGUUUAUUAAAAACACAGCACUGUGCAAACACGAAAGUGGACGUAUACGGUGUGACGCCUGCCCGGUGCCGGAAGGUUAAUUGAUGGGGUCAGCGCAAGCGAAGCUCUUGAUCGAAGCCCCGGUAAACGGCGGCCGUAACUAUAACGGUCCUAAGGUAGCGAAAUUCCUUGUCGGGUAAGUUCCGACCUGCACGAAUGGCGUAAUGAUGGCCAGGCUGUCUCCACCCGAGACUCAGUGAAAUUGAACUCGCUGUGAAGAUGCAGUGUACCCGCGGCAAGACGGAAAGACCCCGUGAACCUUUACUAUAGCUUGACACUGAACAUUGAGCCUUGAUGUGUAGGAUAGGUGGGAGGCUUAGAAGUGUGGACGCCAGUCUGCAUGGAGCCGACCUUGAAAUACCACCCUUUAAUGUUUGAUGUUCUAACGUUGACCCGUAAUCCGGGUUGCGGACAGUGUCUGGUGGGUAGUUUGACUGGGGCGGUCUCCUCCUAAAGAGUAACGGAGGAGCACGAAGGUUGGCUAAUCCUGGUCGGACAUCAGGAGGUUAGUGCAAUGGCAUAAGCCAGCUUGACUGCGAGCGUGACGGCGCGAGCAGGUGCGAAAGCAGGUCAUAGUGAUCCGGUGGUUCUGAAUGGAAGGGCCAUCGCUCAACGGAUAAAAGGUACUCCGGGGAUAACAGGCUGAUACCGCCCAAGAGUUCAUAUCGACGGCGGUGUUUGGCACCUCGAUGUCGGCUCAUCACAUCCUGGGGCUGAAGUAGGUCCCAAGGGUAUGGCUGUUCGCCAUUUAAAGUGGUACGCGAGCUGGGUUUAGAACGUCGUGAGACAGUUCGGUCCCUAUCUGCCGUGGGCGCUGGAGAACUGAGGGGGGCUGCUCCUAGUACGAGAGGACCGGAGUGGACGCAUCACUGGUGUUCGGGUUGUCAUGCCAAUGGCACUGCCCGGUAGCUAAAUGCGGAAGAGAUAAGUGCUGAAAGCAUCUAAGCACGAAACUUGCCCCGAGAUGAGUUCUCCCUGACUCCUUGA